UUCUCUCCAUGAGUCCAGGUAUAUCACACCCUGGGCUUAUCAGUUCAUUCAAAGGUCAGGCAAUAUAGCUUCCUGGAGAGUCUAAGCCAAUCAGCAUCAGGUUAACAUUCAUCUGUGUAGGAAAUUCAAAUGUAUGGAGAAGAUUCAUGUAAACAUGGUGGUUUCUUAAGCUUUCAUAUUUUGGAUGGAUAAACCUUUUCCCUAAGAUGACCAAUGUUGUGCCCAGUGUGACAAAGAUUAGGAUCCCAUGUGACCAGACAAGAUAUGAUGGGAAGAUUGGAAAGCUUAAGAACAUGAAAGGCAGUCCCUGCUUCAUGGUCAAACGCCUGGACCAUAGUCAUAUUCUGAUAGACGGAGAUCUUAAAAGAAAAGCCAUCUUAAAAGAGAGGUGUGCUCUGCAGCAAGGACAGUGCAUUCAACUGAAAAGUGGACCAACACUUUUAUAACAUUUAUGCAUUCUGUUUGAUAAUGAUCUCAUCUGGCAUUUUCAUUAUCCAAUGAGUUAUGCCUCAAUCCGCUGUGCUUAGGGGAAUAAAUAGAGUUCAGAAAAACUUUUAAACCGUGUAGUGCCAAUUAUAAAAAGUGACUAUAAAAAAUGCCAUUGAUUUAUUUGCUUAUACAAAUUUAGGAUAUUUAAUUUCAUUGUGUGAGCUCCUUUACCAUAAGUUUUGUAAUUCAAUAAAGAUUAAUACUCUUGUUAAAUGCAUGCAAAAAAUUGUAAUGUUGUUGUUUUAUUUGUGUG